rnacentral:rRNA from 1 species
UACGAAGGGGGCAAGCGUUAUUCGGAAUUACUGGGCGUAAAGAGCUCGUAGGCGGUCUGUCGCGUCGGCUGUGAAAACCCGGAGCUCAACUCCGGGCCUGCAGUCGAUACGGGCAGACUGGAGUUCGGCAGGGGAGACUGGAAUUCCUGGUGUAGCGGUGAAAUGCGUAGAUAUCGGGAGGAACACCUGCGGUGUAGACGGCUUUCUGGACCAUUGUUGACGCUGAGACACGAAAGCGUGGGUAGCAAACAGG